ensembl:rRNA 5S_rRNA 5S ribosomal RNA
GUCUAUGGCCAUACCACCCUGAACAUGCCUGAUCUGCUCUGAUCUCAGAAGCUAAGCGGGGUUGGGCCUACUUAGUACUUGGAUGGGAGAACUUAAGCCUCCACAAUUA